CACGUAGGGGGCGAGCGUUGUCCGGAAUUAUUGGGCGUAAAGAGCUCGUAGGCGGUUUGUCGCGUCUGCUGUGAAAACUCGGGGCUUAACCCCGGGCCUGCAGUGGGUACGGGCAGACUAGAGUGCGGUAGGGGAGACUGGAAUUCCUGGUGUAGCGGUGAAAUGCGCAGAUAUCAGGAGGAACACCGGUGGCGAAGGCGGGUCUCUGGGCCGUAACUGACGCUGAGGAGCGAAAGCGUGGGGAGCGAACAGG
rnacentral:rRNA from 1 species